UUUGACACCAACCAAUCUAUGUUCAUCAAUAUCUUCUAAAUAUUUUCUCCUCGCGUUACAGAAUCCAGGUGUUUUUCGUUUAGGUUAGCUCCAUGUCUACUAGUGAUAAUGUGAUCAGUUCAUCUUCCUCUCCUUCUGACUCUUCAUUUGUAGUUUCUUAUUUGAUAAAUUCAUUAUGUGGAUUAUCUGAAAAAUGAAGCUAUUCGAUAAACUGAGGAUUCACUAAACCUCACACUACAGAUCUUAUCACUAAGCAUCCAUUAAUUUUGCUAUUUCAUCCUCUUAAAACAAACUCAAAUUGGAUUUUUUUCUUCCUUCAAUUCUUUAUGGAAUACAACUAGCUAAUUUCAUCUCAAGGAACUCAUUCAUCCUGAAUGUGAGCUUAAAAAUCCAAUUUGUUCCUUCAUUUGAUUCGUAAGAGAAUUAUUCAGUCGUAGUUACAACUCUUAAAAGUUCUUCUUGGAUUCUCAAUGUAAAUGUGGUUGAAAGUUGAUGGUCAAACUAGAACUUUUGAAAUAUGAAGGUGUCUCUGAAUCUAUCAUCAGAAUUAUAGUCUCAAAGGGUUUGAUUAAGGAGAAAAUUUCUCUGACGUCACCUUCAGUAGUGACUGAUAAAGGAUUUGAUGAGUACUAUGCUAUGCUUGCUGAAGUUGGACUUCACCAUUUCAAUAGAAGUUAUGGUGCAGUUGGAUUUUUGGAGGAUAGGUGUACUCCAUCCAAUGCUCAAUAUUGGUUGGUAAUUAUGAAAGUGAAAAAGUUCAAGUUUUAUUCUAGCAUGCGAGUCGCAAGACCAAAUUCUUAAAUAAAUUUAUCAUGGCAUCAGAUGAUAAAAAGCGCAAAGCAGUGGAUUUUGAAAUGGGAGAUUUUGUGUGGGAUAUAUUGUCGAAGCAUCGCUUUUCAGUUGGUGAGUAUAACAAUCAAUACAGUAUAUACGUACAUUUUCUGAGUUAUGUGUAUCUAGCUGUAUGUAUGACCACAAGUUUCUCAGAACGAAGCUACCAAGCAACUACUGUAUCAUAUUCAUAAAGUGAGAAGUGCAAUUAGAAAGGUACAAACGAUCAAGGAAAAACUAAGGAUCAAGAGCAUUUCUACGAAACGGAUUAAAAAUUGUAUAUGUGGGUUGAUGUAGCCGAGACCCCAUGCAGUUAUGGAGAAGAUGAAGGAGAACAUGCCUGACCAUGCCAAGCUUUUAAAGAUUACCGGGUGAUGAAGAUGUGUCAUUUUUGUCAGAAGUUCCACAAGUACAGGAGUAACAAUUGCAAUUGAAAAGGCUGCCAUUCCUAAACAGAUUGGAGCGAGUUUUGCUAGUUUAUCAUUUCUCUUAGCAUCUGAUUUCAUUCGUCGCAGGACAUCUCCAACACUUGGACAAGGUGCCUCUAAGGUCUUGACACAAGAUAUUGUUUAGGCGUUAGAUGGCGAAAUUAAUGCGGAAUGAUCUUUACUGAAACCCAAAGUGAACAUGAAAUUCGUUUACCUGAUAAUGUUCUUUUUCUCGAUCUAAGGGAAUGCAAAUGUCGGAUUCUUUAGCCAUUGGUCGGAGAACUAGACCAUUUUCUUCGAUAUUUGUAGUGUGUUGGUGGUCAUCAGCAACUUCCCCGUGAUGUCUAACUGCCGGUGACUUCUUGGGGUGCAUGUUUGUUAAUUGAUUCACCUGAAACGUAUAAAUACAUAAUCCAUCAGCAUCUAGCAAAGAGAUGAAUUAAAGAUAUUCAACAUCGCCAUGGAUGAUUGAAGGAUGUUAUCAUUUCAUAAGGCUAUUUAUUUAAAAAAAACCUGUGAUGUAAAUGAUUCACUUGAGAAACACAACUCCAACUCCAGUUCUUUAUUACUGGGGUUGUAUUGUGUUUGACGUAAAUGAUUCAUCAUCUAGUAUAUGGAUACUUGUUUGUUU